GCAGCAGUGGGGAAUAUUGCACAAUGGGCGAAAGCCUGAUGCAGCAACGCCGCGUGAACGAUGAAGGUCUUCGGAUCGUAAAGUUUUGUCGCAGGGGAAGAUAAUGACGGUACCCUGUGAGGAAGCACCGGCUAACUACGUGCCAGCAGCCGCGGUAAUACGUAGGGUGCUAGCGUUAUCCGGAUUUACUGGGCGUAAAGGGUGCGUAGGUGGUCUUUCAAGUCGGUGGUUAAAGGCUACGGCUCAACCGUAUUAAGCCGCUGAAACUGGAAGACUUGAGUGCAGGAGAGGAAAGUGGAAUUCUCAGUGUAGCGGUGAAAUGCGUAGAUAUUGAGAAGAACACCAGUAGCGAAGGCGGCUUUCUGGACUGUAACUGACACUGAGGCACGAAAGCGUGGGUAGCAAACAGGAUUAGAUACC
rnacentral:rRNA from 1 species